rnacentral:rRNA from 1 species
UACUAGAGUAGCACUCGCAUAUCAAUAAGCGGAGGAAAAGAAACUAACAAGGAUUCCCCUAGUAACGGCGAGUGAAGCGGGAAGAGCUCAAAUUUGAAAUCUUAAAGGGUUUCCCUUUACGAAUUGUAGUUUAAAGAAGUGUUUUCUGUUGAGGUUUUGGUAAAAGUUCUUUGGAAUAGGACAUCAUAGAGGGUGAGAAUCCCGUAUUUGACCUUUACUUUCAACUUUGUGAUACACUUUCAAAGAGUCGGAUUGUUUGGGAAUGCAGUCCAAAAUGGGUGGUAAAUUUCAUCUAAAGCUAAAUAUUGGCGAGAGACCGAUAGCGAACAAGUACCGUGAGGGAAAGAUGAAAAGAACUUUGAAAAGAGAGUUAAACAGUACGUGAAAUUGUCAAAAGGGAAGCGUUUGACACCAGUGUUGUUUUUCUGAAAAUCAAUUAAAGAACUGUUUAUGCUAAGUUGUUUAGACUUUAUCAGCUAUCUGUUUAGUUUUGAGCUUUUCUUUAAUGCACUUUUCAGUUAACAAGUCAACAUCAAUUUCUUUUGCUGUAAAAAAGCUUGAGGAAGGUGGCUUGAGAUUCGUCUUAAGUGUUUAUAGCCUCUUGCCUAUGCAGUCGGAGAGAUUGAGGUCUGCAGCGUAGAUCCUUCGGGGCUAAAUGCAUUUGUGCUAAGUUAUAGCAUUUUAUAGACAACUUGUUGACUAUGAUUUGUCUUGUAGCUUACUCGCUUAUGUUAUUUUACCUACGCUUAGGAUGUUGAACUCUAUCACACACA